CCUACGGGAGGCAGCAGUAGGGAAUCUUAGACAAUGGGGGCAACCCUGAUCUAGCCAUGCCGCGUGUGUGAUGAAGGCCCUAGGGUCGUAAAGCACUUUCGCCAGAGAUGAUAAUGACAGUAUCUGGUAAAGAAACCCCGGCUAACUCCGUGCCAGCAGCCGCGGUAAUACGGAGGGGGUUAGCGUUGUUCGGAAUUACUGGGCGUAAAGCGCACGUAGGCGGAUUAGUAAGUUAGAGGUGAAAUCCCAGGGCUCAACCCUGGAACUGCCUUUAAUACUGCUAGUCUUGAGUUCGAGAGAGGUAAGUGGAAUUCCGAGUGUAGAGGUGAAAUUCGUAGAUAUUCGGAGGAACACCAGUGGCGAAGGCGGCUUACUGGCUCGAUACUGACGCUGAGGUGCGAAAGUGUGGGGAGCAAACAGGAUUAGAUACCCUGGUAGUCCACACCGUAAACGAUGAAUGCCAGACGUCAGCAAGUAUACCUGUUGGUGUCACACCUAACGGAUUAAGCAUUCCGCCUGGGGAGUACGGUCGCAAGAUUAAAACUCAAAGGAAUUGACGG
rnacentral:rRNA from 1 species